rnacentral:lncRNA from 1 species
UAAUGACACAUGAUUCUGUUUAUUUCACCGUUAAUAAUACCCAUGCAUUUCCUAACUUUACAGCACAGAUCACACAGUGAGACAGGGUGGAGUGAAGCAGAGAACAGGGCAGUUUGUACACCUGAUUCCAUAAAUUGGGUGUCGUCUUCAUGUUAUCAUCGUCAUCUCUGGCUUUGUAUUAACUCGGUAACUGAUGUCACGUAUCUUAAUAUAAAUAAAGAAGAAAAA